UACGUAGGGGGCAAGCGUUGUCCGGAUUUAUUGGGCGUAAAGAGCUCGUAGGCGGUUGGGCAAGUCACGUGUGAAAUCUCCACGCUCAACGUGGAGGCGCCACGUGAGACUGCCCUGACUCGAGUCCGGUAGGGGAGCGUGGAAUUCCCGGUGUAGCGGUGAAAUGCGUAGAGAUCGGGAGGAACACCAGUGGCGAAGGCGGCUACCUGGACCAGCACUGACACUGAGGCACGAAAGCGUGGGGAGCAAACAGG
rnacentral:rRNA from 1 species